AACUGUGCGUACUGGGAGUGGGGAUAUGUUCAACUGUAAAAUCACAACAACACAUCGCAAUUGGGGUGUAUGUGAAGAGGACUCUCUUCAAUGACCACUAGUUAUAGAAAAGGUUUGAAAUAAUCUACACCAAUAUUUUACCAGAUUAACUGAAAAGUGAAUCAUACUGAAACAAUAUUGAUGGGGAAAUGCAUUUGGGAUAAGUUUUGCGCAAUGGUCGAGCAAGCGUCUUGGUCUGCAGACGUCAACACAUUUAGUGUGACAGUUUCACGAGCUGAUAUUUUUCGUUUUGAUUUGCCUCUAGAAUGUUGUAAUUUAAUAGUCUGACAUUUAUGGCAGAAAUGUGUUGUGGAUCAGCAGGGAUACUGUGCCGGCAAAGUGUGAAAAAUGUAUUCAGUUGAUUUUUAUGAGUUUUGUUAUGUACCACAUUCUCCAUUUUAACUACGUCUUCAGCCAAGAACAACGACAUUUAUCUCAUCAACACUAAAAUAUCUGCCGGUAUCCCGCAUGCUGUACUGUUGUGGAAGCAAGGACAAGGAGAAGCAGCGCUCGGACGCUGCUGAGGUGUCGAGAAUUCUAGAGACAGAGAAAAACCGAAAGAACCGUGAAAGCGCACCUCAACCACUGGAAAUGUACGGAAUAGCGGGAAUACCCGAGUUUCUACCCCCCUCUGGCGUACUCCAGCCCAGCUCAGUAAUCCCACUCGAGUAUGGUGAGGUGCCUGGUUUGGGGAGUCGAUUCAACAGGGGUGUGCUGAGCUUUGACUCCCCCCAGCGGAGACGAGGCCAACGGGCCCCGAAGCUAGGGCAAAUAGGACGUUCGAAGAGAGUGGUGAUAGAGGAUGAGGACUUGGAUGACGUCAUGAACAACAAUGGCCUCCCCAUAUCAAUCAAUAUCUAUCCUGUUGCCUAAACACUUCAGACUGUCCAGACCUCAAGAAGCUAUCGUGCACAUUUGUGAAAUUCUGAGGCGAGUACCACUUGUUCUGGACCAUACCCAGUUCAGGUGCCCAUUGCAAAGUUUACAAUAGCAGCAUGCGCAUCACCAGUAGUUUAGCUCUUCCCGGAGGGAAGGUGGGUGUCCCAAGGAAAUAGAGAGAACAUGGUGCACCUCUGCUGCUGUUCUGGUUUUGAACGGGAGGGGAGCAAGUUGGAUAGAUUUGGAGCCGGACAGUCUGAAACAUAAGCACACACGAGAAGGCCCUACCCAUCAAGACCUGCCCCUUUAAAAUGAGUUGACCUAUGCUUUUUCAUUGUUUCACAUAUUCUUUUGACAAAUACACUUUAUUCUAGCCUUUGAUGGUCGACAACACUGUCUCGUUUUGGUGCAAGUGAAGUGUCUGUAAAAUCUGUUCUAAAACAUGAUAGAUAGAUACACUGAUACACUUUCAUUUGUCAUGCACGUCCUAAUUAGAAGCUUAGUAAUCCUAUACCCUGCCUAUGUUGUAAUGUAUUUCAUUUUUACCCUUGAGUUACUAGACAAAGGAGUUCUCACUGUGAACUAGUGAACUUCUAUGUAUCCCUGAAUAGAGGUGUAAAAGACAAUUUUCUUUUAUUUUUUUAAUUAGCUUCUUGUCCAAUGUCCUUCACCAAUCACCAUAAUAAUCUAAUCUGGUCUAAAAAAAAAAUCGUAUGACAUUCAGACAAGUUGCCUACCUCUGCUCUUGGAGUAUGGAGUAUCAUUCAUUUUGGUGGUUCAUGUAAAACACAGUUACGAUGAAGUAGAUCGCAACAUGGAGGAGAAAUGUGGUAUUUGGUGCAUGACUGACCGAGCUGUGAGAAAUACAUUGUUUUGAUAUGGAACCAUUGGUCAGUUUGGCUCAGACUUUUUCCCUCUAGCUGUAAAGUUAUACAAUUAUAUCACUAAAAGGGUUAGGCCUACUUCAACUCCAGUUACAGUAAUUCAAUUAUCAGUAAAACAAAAAUAAAUGAUAUGCUUGGACUGAUACUAAAGUGAGUGUGUGUUUUUGUACUCUUUGCAUGAAAGAGUCUGAUAAGUGGCAUGUGUUAUUGUAAAACCUUGAUUAUACUUCUUGGAAUGUGAUAUGCUGUUGUACAGUGAUAGUACCAGCAGAUGGAGAUAAAGUCCAAGGAACACAGUGCUCUGCCUGGAACUUUUGUCUCACUCAACGAGUACAGACUUGUAAUUCAUUUGGAAUAAAAACCUGUUUGGGUAGUCUUUGAAAUGAACCUAUUUUUGGAAAAUAAGAUCACUGUUGAAGACAAUGAGACCAUUUUUGGUUUGAGGAGAAGUGUUAUUUUGGCAAAAUGUAGAUCUGAGAGAACUUUGUGGAUGUAUCCUCCCCUACUUAUUUAUUUGGACAGUGAAGCUAAAACAUUUAACUUGGCUCCAUAUUCCAGCAUUUUGGUUUUGAGAUCAAAUGUUUCAAAUGAGGCGACAGAACAGAAUGUCACCUCUUAUUUGAGGGUAUUUCAAAUCAAAGUUUAUUGGUUGCAUACACAGAUUUGCAGCUGUUAUGGCAGCAGGUAAACUAGUGGUUAGAGCGUUAGGCCAGUAACCGAAGGUCGCUAGUUUGAAUACCCAAGCCGACAACAUGAAAAAACAUUUUGAUGUGCCCUUGAUCAAGGCACUUCAUCCUAAUUUGCUCCAGGGGCGCCGUACUACCAAGGCUAACCCGAGAAUACAGUAUAUACUUAAACAGUGAGUAAACAACAGAAUAUGAGGUGACCCGUGUUCAAUGACUCUGUAAAUGGGGAAUUAGUCUCAAGGUGCAGGGCAGAGUACCGGGCAGGCAGCCGGCUAGUGAUGGCUGUUCAACAGUGAUGACAUGGAGAUAAACUGCUUCUUUCAGUCUCUCGGUCUCUGCUAGAAGGGUGACUGAGGUCCUUGAUGAUGUUAUUGGCCUUCCUUUGACACCAAGUGCAGUGUGCACCCGGUGAUGCGUGCCCCCCAUGAUGCAUUUUGUCAUAUAUACACUAUGUGACCAAAAGUACAUGGACACUGCUCUGAAAAUAUCUCGUUCCAAAAUCAACGGCAUUAACAUGGAGUUGGUCUCCCCUUUGCUGCUAUAACAGCCUCCACUCUUCUGGGAAGGCUUUCCACUAGAUGUUGGAACAUUGCUGCGGGGACUUGCUUCCAUUCAGACACAAGAGCAUUAGUGAGGUUGGGCACUAAUGUUGGGCGAUUCGGCCUGGCUUGCAGUCGGCGUUCCAAUUCAUCACAAAGGUGUUUGAUAGGGUUAAGUUCUUCCACGCCGAUUUCAACAAACCAUUUCUGUAUGGACCUCGCUUUGUGCAUGGGGGCAUUGUCAUGCUGAAACUGGAGGGGCCUAGCCCGAACCAUGAGAAACAGCCCCUGAUCUUCAGUCCUCUUCCACCAAACUUUACAGUUGGCACUAUGCACUGGGGCAGGUAGUGUUCUUCAUGCGUCCAUUGGACUGCCAGAUGGUGAAGCGUGAUUCAUCAGUCUAGAGAACGUGUUUCCACUGCUCCAGAAUCCAAUGGAGGCGAGCUUUACACCACUCCAGCUGAUGCUUGGCAUUGCCAUUGGUGAUCUUAAGCUUGUGUGUGGUUGAUCGGCCAUAGAAACCCAUUUCUUGAUUUGUUGUAAAGGUGGCAUCCUAUGACGGUGCCACGUUGAAAGUCAGGGCUCUUCAGUAAGGACAUUCUACUGCCAAUGUUUGUCUAUGGCAAUUGCAUGGUUGUGCGCUCAAUUUUAUAUACCUGUCAGCAACGGGUGUGGCUGAAAUAGACGAAUCCACUAAUUUGAAGGGGUGUCUAGAUACUUUUGGAUAUAGUGUAUCCGUUUACAAAUCAAGCACUUUAUUUAUCUAGUCCUCCCAUCUGAAGGUGUCAUAAAUAUUUGGACAAAUUCCAAAUACUAUAAAGUAGUCAAAUGUUUAGUAUUGGGUUCCAUAUUCUUAGCACACAAUGACUAUAUCAAGCUUUGAAGUUUGUUUUGGUUGCGUUUCAGAUUGUGCUCAAUAGAAACUAAUGGUAAACAAUUGUAUUUUGUCAUUUUGGAGUCACUUUUAUUAAAAGAAUAGGUUUCUGAACACUUCUCCAUUAAUGUGGAUACUACCAUGAUACAGAUAAUGAAUGAAUCGUGAAUAAUGAGAAAGUCUGAGGAACUAGAAAAAGGGACUCCAAAAUGACAAUACAUUAUUUACCAUUCAUUUCUAUUUGACACAAUCUGAAACACAACCGAAACAAACUGCAGAUGCAUCCAAGUUCGUAGUCACAAGCGUGACAUAGUGCUAGGAACAAUGGGACCAAGUAAACAUUUGACUACUUUAAUACAAAUACAUUUGUUCAAAAACGUAUGACACCUUCAAAUAUGGGGGAUUAUAUACACAGUGCCUUCAUUUCUAAACAGUAAAACAUAUGAAAAUACUCUAAAAUAAAAAGGUGACAUUCUGUACUGUCACCUCAUGAAACAUUUGAUCUCAAAUCCAAAAUGCUGGAGUAUAGAGCAAAAUGAAUAUUUUAUCUUCACAGUCUAAAUAAAUACAUAUGGGAGUGUACAAUAUGUUAUGGAAACUUGCCUUGCAAAGGGUGAGUUACAGCCAAACUGCAUACAAUUCUGUUGGAUCAAGAAGUGCCUAAGGAAUAGGUUCAGGAUUGAUUUUGGACAAGACAUGUAUAUUUUUGCCUCUCUUAUAUCCAAUGGCUUGGUAUUUUGUGAAAGUUUUAUAAGGACAGAAUGACUUUGUGGUAAAGCUCAGAAGAUCUCACAAGACAACACUGCAAUUCAGUUAUGAAAACUUAGGACACGAAAGAGGCCUUUCUUCUGACUCUGAAAAACACCAAAAGAAAGAUGCCCCGGGUCCCUGCUCAUUUGCAUGAAUGUGCCUUAGGCAUGCUGCAAGGAGGCAUGAGAACUGCAGAUGUGUCCAUACUGUGAGACACCUAAGACUACAGGGAGACAGGACGGACAGCUGAUGAUCGUCCUCGCAGUGGCAGAACACGUGUAACAACACCUGCACAGGAUCGGUACAUCUGAACAUCACACCUGCGGGACAGGUACAGGAUGGCAACAACAACUGCCUGAGUUACACCAGGAAUGCACAAUCCCUCCAUCAGUGCUCAGACUGUGUGCAAUAGGCUGAGAGAGGCUGAACUGAGGGCUUGUAGUAGGCCUGUUGUAAGACAGGUCCUCACCAGACAUCACCGGCAACAACGUCGCCUAUGGGCACAAACCCACCAUCGCUGGACCAGACAGGACUGGCAAAAAGUGCUCUUCACUGACGAGUCGCGGUUUGGUCUCACCAGGGGUGAUGGUCAGAUUCGUGUUUAUCGUUGAAGGAAUGACCGUUACAUCGUGGCCUGUACUCUGGAUCGAUUUGGAGGGUCCAUCAUGGUCUGGGGCGGUGUGUCACAUCGGACUGAGCUUGUCAUUGCAGGCAAUCUCAAUGCUGUGCGUUACAGGGAAGACAUCCUUCUCCCUCAUGUGGUACCCUUCCUGCUGGCUCAUCCUGACAUGACCCUCCAGCAUGAUAAUGCCACUAGCCAUGCUGCUCAUUUUGUGAGUGAUUUCCUGAAUGACAGUAAUGUCAGUGUUCUGCCAUGGUCAGCAAAUAGCCUGGAUUUCAAUCCCAUUGAGCACGUCUGGGACCUGUUGGAUCAGAGGCUGAGGGCUAGGGCCAUUACCCCCAGAAAUGUCUGGGAACUUGCAGGUGCCUUGGUGGAGGAAUGGGGUAACAUCUCACAAGAACUGGCAAAUCUGGUGCGGUUCAUGAAGAGGAGAUGCACUGCAGUACUUAAUGCAGCUGGUGGCCACACCAGAUUACUUUUGAUUUUGACCCCUCCCCAUACAAAUAUUUACACAUUAAGUAUGCAGAAAAUAAACAGUUGACAAUGAUGUUUCAUUUUUUGAGUUUAUAUUACUGGUCAUCCCCAAAGCCAACAUCUUUGGCUGCCUUUCCUUCCAGUUAUCUGCUGCCUAUGACUGGAACGAAUUGCAAAAAUACCUGAAGUUGGACUUAUCUCCCUCACCAACUUUAAGCAUCAGCUGUUAAGAGCAGCUUACUGAUCACUGAAGCUGUACACAGACUGUAAAUACCCAGUGCAACCAACUACCUACCUCAUCCAUGUUUUUCCUGCUCUUUUGUACACAAGUAUUUGUACAUCCUCAUCUGCACAUAUCACACCAGUGUAAAUUGUAAUUACAUUACCACUAUUGGCCUAUUUAUUGCCUUAACUCAUUUGCACACACACUAUAUACAGAUUGUUCUAUUGUGUGUUAUUGGCUGUACUUUGUUUAUCCCAUGUGUACCUCGGUUGUUGUCACAUUACAUUUAAGUCAUUUAGCAGAUGCUCUUAUCCAGAGCGACUUACAAAUUGGACACUGCUUUGCUUUAUCUUGGCCAGGCUGCGGUUGUAAAUGAGAACUUGUUCGCAACUGACCUACCUGGUUAAAUAAAA